GAACUGGGAUGAGGUAGGGGAAGGGGAAAUGAGGAAACUGGUGAAUUCCACAUGGAUGCCCUGGGGUUGAAAUGUCAAUAGGAGUGCCUCAAAAAGAAGCACUGGCAAAUCAUUUGAUGUCACAGCAAAGCUUGAUUUUCUCUUCCCCAGCAGACAAUCAUGUAUUUUCAACAGGAAAUUUUGGGCACUGAGAUGACUCUAAAUGGGAACCCGAGGUGUUUUUCUCCCUCGGAGUGCUGAGUUUGGGCUACAUCUCUUGGGUGAUGAGCAUAAAAACCAAGGACCAAGCCACUUCAUUUAAAAUCCUGAAGAUUCAACAGAGGUAGCAAUAGUCAAUCAAGAAGUUAGAAGAAGCCAUCUUAACAUGCAAGACAAUUAAAAGCAAGUUCUAUUGGUGACUGUUCUUCGGAUCCUAAUGUACUAGAAAGAGAAGACUGAGACACGGUGGGAAUCAAUUAGUCUUUACAGUCAAAUAACGGAUCUAAACUGAAAAGCUAACGUUAUUUCUGCUUAAUAGAGCCUACUGUCUAUUUCCAGAAGCAGGUACCAUUUUCUUUGAUUUUUUAAAUGUUCCAAAAAUCGGUCAAAGGGAAAUCCUGCAUAUGGAAUUGCUCCUAUCACUAUACCAGAGAUCUCUCCAUAAAACCUCCAGAAAUAGAUAUUUUAUAGAUCCUGCAAUGCAGUGUUAUAUGAUGGUUACUGUAU